CCGUAUAUUAAGCUGUAUAACAUACAUUAAGCUGUAUGCCGUACAUUAAGCUGUAUACCGUAUAUUAAGCUGAAUACCGUACAUUAAGCUGUAUAUUGUACAUUAAGCUGUAUACCGUAUAUUAAGCUGUAUAACAUACAUUAAGCUGUAUACUGUAUAUUAAGCUGUAUACUGUUUAUUAAGCUGUAUACCGUAUAUUAAGCUGUAUAACAUACAUUAAGCU